rnacentral:rRNA from 1 species
CCUACGGGAGGCAGCAGUGAGGAAUAUUGGUCAAUGGUCGGGAGACUGAACCAGCCAAGCCGCGUGAGGGAGGAAGGUACAGAGUAUCGUAAACCUCUUUUGUCAGGGAACAAAGACUGGGACGCGUCCCCGGAUGAGUGUACCUGAAGAAAAAGCAUCGGCUAACUCCGUGCCAGCAGCCGCGGUAAUACGGGGGAUGCGAGCGUUAUCAGGAUUUAUUGGGUUAAAAGGGUGCGCAGGCGGUCUGUAAAGUCAGCGGUCAAAGCCCGGGGCCAAACCCCGGCCCGCAGUUGAAACUGGCAGUCUCGAGUUGGAGAGAAGUAUGCGGAAGGCGUGGUGUAGCGGUGAAAUGCAUAGAUAUCGGGCAGAACUCCGAUUGCGAAGGCAGCAUGCCGGCUCCACACUGACGCUGAGGCACGAAAGCGUGGGUAUCGAACAGGAUUAGAUACCCUAGUAGUC